ACGAAGACACAUAAAAAUAAUAAUACAGAAAACACAGAAAAUAUUGGGAGGACUUUCCAGUCUGAAAUACUGAAAUUUACCUGGUGUUUAUUUUUCCACAGCUUUUAUGCCCACUGUAAACUUGGGGAGAAAGUAACAAAAGACUCUAUCAACAUGAUACAAGAGGAUAACUCACAUAGUCAGUGGCCAUCAUCACUCUGAGACGUCAAAUCCUUAGCAUUCUGUCCUCCAGGAAGUUCAUCCCUGAAGAUGCCAGCCCAGACAUGGACCCAGAAGAAACUUUAGGAACCAACUUUACCAACAAGCCCGGAUGUCAUUAGCCUGCAUCCCCAGGACUCCCCACCUUAGAGACACUGAACCCUUUUCUUCACCUGGCCUGAUGCUGCAUGCCUCCCAUCUCAGCACCCCUAUGAGGAAGAGGCAAGGAGCUGGAGUUUGCGAAUAGCCUGAGCCCAGGUUAUUCUAGGUUAACAAGCAGGUUAAAAGUUUGUCUCGGAUAACAAAAAAGACAAUAAAUCCUUGAAAGUC